UCAACUCCCAGUAUGACCAGACAACAGUUGGCUGUCGGGGCAUGCUGGGAGUUGAAGUUUUACAAAAUCUGAAGGGUCACAGUUUGAGGCCACUGUAAGCUGUACAGGACCCUAAAGAGACACCUGUCUUCUACAUGAGACUGCUGUCUGCAAGAACCUGCUAACUGGAAAGAUGCAUAGAAGGAUUAGGAGAAAGAACAGGUGUUAAGAAGAAUAUACCAAGUUGCAACAAAAAAUAUACCAAGACACAACUCCAGUGGGCAAAGGAGUGCAAAAGCUGGAUCGCCUUUAGGCCCUGUUCGUGAGGUAUCCAACUCUAGAGCGAUUCUACGUCGAUACUUGCCAAUAGUGUUGAAUUUUCAACGGGAACUUCUGCUAUCCGAUGCUUUCGUCCACUCUUUUACGUCUCAGGUGAGAAGAAAACAUUGUUAAGUUGUUUUCUGGACGGAGAAGAACAUUAGAGCAAAUGGAACAAGUGUAUAAAUCAAUUUCCAUAUGUUGUCCAUUUAUGACAGGGAAAGACUUAAUAACAAUCUCAAUAAAGACAUGGGGAUAUCCUUCAGAAGCUUGUGACUGAGGCUUGAGAUUGAGGAGAGACAACCAGCCUGGGCCAGCCAACAGACUGCAAUAGUCUAAGGGCUGCAGUCUUCAAGCCGGCGUUAUCCAGGAUUAGAAAUAGAUACAGGUAUCCACACAACCUAUCUGGCACGCAUGACAAACCGGCAAGUCCAUGUAGGAAAGCCCUGGCGUGGCAAGAAGACAUACAU